AAAAAAUCAGGACAAAAGGUCCGACAAGUCCAAGUACACUUAUGGGGAAGCAGGACAGAGUAUUUGAAAUUGAGACUGUCCCAGAAAACUCAUAAUAUAUGUUCACUCCAGGAAGAAGGCAAGAACAUUUCCCGACUCCAGGACUCGCUUGAGUGACAGACUUGCUGCUUUCUUUACAUGGCAGUUGCUUUUUCUCCUGACGCUGCAUGAGGCUCCAGGAAUAAAGGCGCUCAGAAGAGAAGGUGGAUUUGUACAAGGCCUUCAUGACAGGAGGGAGCCAGUUAGGAUGAGAGCAGAAUCGCCCUCCUCAGCUGUGCCCACAGAGCCCUUGGCUGAGGCCGGGCUCAGGGCUGCCUGCUUUCACCGCUCCCACCGCUUCUUUACCUCCCACAUCCUAUUUGUUUUUAUCAAGCCUUCUUUUCGGAUAUUCAGAGACAAACUCAAUCAAAACCUUGUCUGGAGAUUUGCAGAGAUCCUCAGGUUUGGACUUGCCUCAGGCAAGGAUGUGACGGGCUGA
rnacentral:lncRNA from 1 species